rnacentral:rRNA from 2 species
AUUCCGGUUGAUCCUGCCGGAGGCCAUUGCUAUCGGAGUCCGAUUUAGCCAUGCUAGUCGCGCGGGUUUAGACCCGCGGCAGAUAGCUCAGUAACACGUGGCCAAACUACCCUAUGGACGGAGAUAACCUCGGGAAACUGAGGCUAAUAUCCGAUACAGCUCGCACGCUGGAGUGCAGCGAGCUGGAAACGUUCCGGCGCCAUAGGAUGUGGCUGCGGCCGAUUAGGUAGACGGUGGGGUAAUGGCCCACCGUGCCGAUAAUCGGUACAGGUUGUGAGAGCAAGAGCCUGGAGACGGAAUCUGAGACAAGAUUCCGGGCCCUACGGGGCGCAGCAGGCGCGAAACCUUUACACUGCACGACAGUGCGAUAGGGGGACUCCGAGUGCGAGGGCAUACAGUCCUCGCUUUUCUGCACCGUAAGGUGGUACAGGAACAAGUGCUGGGCAAGACCGGUGCCAGCCGCCGCGGUAAUACCGGCAGCACGAGUGAUGGCCGAUUUUAUUGGGCCUAAAGCGUCCGUAGCCGGCCGAGCAAGUCUGUUGGGAAAUCCACGCGCUCAACGCGUGGGCGUCCAGCGGAAACUGUUCGGCUUGGGGCCAGAGGACUCGAGGGGUACGUUCGGGGUAGGAGUGAAAUCCCGUAAUCCUGGACGGACCACCGGUGGCGAAAGCGCCUCGAGAAGAUGGACCCGACGGUGAGGGACGAAAGCUUGGGUCUCGAACCGGAUUAGAUACCCGGGUAGUCCAAGCUGUAAACGAUGCUCGCUAGGUGUGCCGCAGGCUACGAGCCUGCGCUGUGCCGUAGGGAAGCCGAGAAGCGAGCCGCCUGGGAAGUACGUCUGCAAGGAUGAAACUUAAAGGAAUUGGCGGGGGAGCACUACAACCGGAGGAGCCUGCGGUUUAAUUGGACUCAACGCCGGACAUCUCACCAGCACCGACAACGGUAAUGAUGGCCAGGUUGAUGACCUUACCCGACGCCGUUGAGAGGAGGUGCAUGGCCGCCGUCAGCUCGUACCGUGAGGCAUCCUGUUAAGUCAGGCAACGAGCGAGACCCGCAUCCUUAAUUGCCAGCAGCAUCCUUGUGAUGGCUGGGUACAUUAGGGAGACCGCCACGGCUAACGUGGAGGAAGGAACGGGCAACGGUAGGUCAGCAUGCCCCGAAUGUGCUGGGCAACACGCGGGCUACAAUGGCCGGGACAGUGGGAAGCUAAUCCGAGAGGAUACGCUAAUCCCCUAAACCCGGUCGUAGUUCGGAUUGAGGGCUGAAACUCGCCCUCAUGAAGCUGGAUUCGGUAGUAAUCGCGUGUCAGAAGCGCGCGGUGAAUACGUCCCUGCUCCUUGCACACACCGCCCGUCAAAUCACCCGAGUGGGGUCCGGAUGAGGCCAUCAUGCGAUGGUCGAAUCUGGGCUCCGCAAGGGGGAUUAAGUCGUAACAAGGUAGCCGUAGGGGAAUCUGCGGCUGGAUCACCUCCU